rnacentral:rRNA from 1 species
UGAGGAAUAUUGGUCAAUGGGCGCAAGCCUGAACCAGCCAAGUCGCGUGAGGGAAGAAGGUUCUAUGGAUUGUAAACCUCUUUUGUCAGGGAACAAGAAGAUUCACGAGUGGAUCAGUGAGGGUACCUGAAGAAAAAGCAUCGGCUAACUCCGUGCCAGCAGCCGCGGUAAUACGGAGGAUGCGAGCGUUAUCCGGAUUUAUUGGGUUUAAAGGGUGCGCAGGCGGAACCAUAAGUCAGCGGUAAAAUGUCGGGGCUCAACCCCGGCCCGCCGUUGAAACUGUGAUUCUCGAGUGGGCGCGAGGCAUGCGGAAUGCGAGGUGUAGCGGUGAAAUGCAUAGAUAUCGCGCAGAACUCCGAUUGCGAAGGCAGCAUGCCAGCGCCUUACUGACGCUGAGGCACGAAAGUGUGGGUAUCGAACAGG